rnacentral:tRNA from 1 species
UCCCUGGUGGCUCAGAGGUUAAAGCGUCUGCCUCCAAUGCGGGAGACCCGGGUUCGAUUCCUGGAUUGGGAA